rnacentral:rRNA from 1 species
AUACGGGGGAUUCAAGCGUUAUCCGGACUUAUUGGGUUUAAAGGGUGCGUAGGCUGAUAAAUCAGUCAGCGGUGAAAUUUACGGGCUUAACUUGUAGCUUGCCGUUGAAACUAUUUAUCUAGAGAUAUUUCGGCGUAUGCGGAAUGUAUCAAGUAGCGGUGAAAUGCAUAGAUAUGCUACAGAACACCAAUCGCGAAGGAGGCAUCCGAGGCAUCAGAUGUCGCUGAUGCUCGAACGCGUGCGGAUCAAACAGUAUUAGAUACCCUGGUAGUCCACGCUGUAAACUAUUAUAACUAUCUUUUAGCGAUACACAGUUAGAGGGUGCGAGAAAGCAGUAAGUUAUCCGCCUGGGGACUACGGUCGGAAGAAUGAAACUUAAAGGAAUUGACGGGG